GUGGAGGCUGGGACCCGGACUGGUAGUAGGCAAGCGAUGGGGUGACGCAGGAAGGUAGUCCUACCGGUGAGUGGUAGUACCGGUGCAAGGGUGUGGCCCGCGGGGUAGGCAAAUCCGUCCCGCACGAGGGUGAGACCUGACGCAUAGCCGAAUGAGGCGAAUUGGAUGAUCCUAUGCUGCCGAGAAAAGCCUCUAGCGAGUUCCGAGCGGCCCGUACCCCAAACCAACUCAGGUGGUCAGGUAGAGAAUACCAAGGCGAUCGAGCGAACUGUGGUUAAGGAACUCGGCAAAAUGCCCCCGUAACUUCGGGAGAAGGGGGGCCAUCUACUGUCAACCGCCUUGCGCGGGGUAGCGGUGGGUGGCCGCAGAGACCAGUGAGAAGCGACUGUUUACUAAAAACACAGGUCCGUGCGAAGUCGUAAGACGAUGUAUACGGACUGACGCCUGCCCGGUGCUGGAACGUUAAGGGGACGGGUUAGCCGCAAGGCGAAGCUCAGAACUCAAGCGCCAGUAAACGGCGGUGGUAACUAUAACCAUCCUAAGGUAGCGAAAUUCCUUGUCGGGUAAGUUCCGACCUGCACGAAUGGCGUAACGACUUCUCAGCUGUCUCAACCACAGGCUCGGCGAAAUUGCACUACGAGUAAAGAUGCUCGUUACGCGCGGCAGGACGGAAAGACCCCGGGACCUUUACUAUAGCUUGAUAUUGGUGUUCGGUUCGGCUUGUGUAGGAUAGGUGGGAGACUGUGAAGCGGGCACGCCAGUGUUCGUGGAGUCAUCGUUGAAAUACCACUCUGGUCGAAUUGGAUGUCUAACUUCGGUCCGUGAUCCGGAUCAGGGACAGUGUCAGGUGGGUAGUUUAACUGGGGCGGUUGCCUCCCAAAAUGUAACGGAGGCGCCCAAAGGUUCCCUCAGCCUGGUUGGCAAUCAGGUGUCGAGUGCAAGUGCACAAGGGAGCUUGACUGUGAGACCGACGGGUCGAGCAGGAGCGAAAGCUGGGACUAGUGACCCGGCACCGGCAUGUGGAAGCGGUGUCGCUCAACGGAUAAAAGGUACCCCGGGGAUAACAGGCUGAUCUUCCCCAAGAGUCCAUAUCGACGGGAUGGUUUGGCACCUCGAUGUCGGCUCGUCGCAUCCUGGGGCUGGAGUAGGUCCCAAGGGUUGGGCUGUUCGCCCAUUAAAGCGGUACGCGAGCUGGGUUUAGAACGUCGUGAGACAGUUCGGUCCCUAUCCGCCGUGCGCGUAAGAGACUUGAGAAGAGCUGUCCCUAGUACGAGAGGACCGGGACGGACGAACCUCUGGUGUGCCAGUUGUACCGCCAGGUGCACUGCUGGUUAGCUACGUUCGGCAGGGAUAACCGCUGAAAGCAUCUAAGCGGGAAGCUCGCUUCAAGAUGAGGUCUCUCACCGGGUCAACCGGGUAAGGCCCCCGCCCAGACCAGCGGGUUGAUAGGCCGGAAGUGGAAGCACCGCAAGGUGUGGAGCUGACCGGUACUAAUAGGCCGAGGGCUUGACCA
rnacentral:rRNA from 1 species